rnacentral:rRNA from 1 species
GGCGAACGCUGGCGGCGUGCCUAAUACAUGCCAGUAGAACGCUGAAGAGAGGAGCUUGCUCUUCUUGGAUGAGUUGCGAACGGGUGAGUAACGCGUAGGUAACCUGCCUUGUAGCGGGGGAUAACUAUUGGAAACGAUAGCUAAUACCGCAUAACAAUGGAUGACACAUGUCAUUUAUUUGAAAGGGGCAAUUGCUCCACUACAAGAUGGACCUGCGUUGUAUUAGCUAGUAGGUGAGGUAAUGGCUCACCUAGGCGACGAUACAUAGCCGACCUGAGAGGGUGAUCGGCCACACUGGGACUGAGACACGGCCCAGACUCCUACGGGAGGCAGCAGUAGGGAAUCUUCGGCAAUGGGGGCAACCCUGACCGAGCAACGCCGCGUGAGUGAAGAAGGUUUUCGGAUCGUAAAGCUCUGUUGUAAGUCAAGAACGGGUGUGAGAGUGGAAAGUUCACACUGUGACGGUAGCUUACCAGAAAGGGACGGCUAACUACGUG